rnacentral:misc_RNA from 1 species
UUAUCGUUUUAAAAUCAAUCGAUCGAUGAUCAAGGGCCCUUUGAUCACUUCAGUAAUAAGUUUUACCUCGGUAGAUCACUAAUUCCAAAGUUAUCUUGGGUCACAAUUUUGUUGAUGCUAAAAUAUUUAUGAGGAAAAAAAAAUGCGAAAAAAGGUACAACAGGUAAAGCCCAUUCAGAAGAAGAAGGCUCAAUGAUGUCAUCUCUCAGCAACAAGUCCACGGCACGGUGUAUUCUACGCUGGAUCUCCGGACUCCAGGGGUACGGAUUUUUCCUGACUGGAUCCGCUCCUUGGAACUCCUCCUUCAGCUCGAUUUUGUGCUCAAUGAGCCCCGUUUUGCCGAGAUUUCCAGGACUCGCUGUAAGAAACAACUUUUUGACCUCCUCCAACUGCUGUAUUUGAUGCUCAUCUAAUCUCUCCUCUUCUAGAAUCUGGUCGUCACCCUCGUCGAGCG